UACGAAGGGUGCAAGCGUUACUCGGAAUUACUGGGCGUAAAGCGUGCGUAGGUGGUUUGUUAAGUCUGAUGUGAAAGCCCCGGGCUCAACCUGGGAAUUGCGCUUGAUACUGCGGCGCUGGAAGGUGGGAGAGGAUGGCGGAAUUCCCAGUGUAGAGGUGAAAUUCGUAGAUAUUGGGAAGAACACCGGUGGCGAAGGCGGCCAUCUGGCCCAUUUUUGACGCUGAGGCGCGAAAGCGUGGGGAGCAAACAGG
rnacentral:rRNA from 1 species